rnacentral:lncRNA from 1 species
UUGAUUAGGAUUUGGUUUUGAUUUAGGAUUAGGAUUAGGAUUUAGUUAAGAUUUGAUUUAGGAUUAGACUAUGAUUUGGAUUUGGUUAGGAUUUGAUUUAGGAUUAGGAUUUGAUUUAGUAUUUAGGAUUUGAUUAGGGUUUGGUUAGGGUUUGAUUUAGGAUUUGGUUUAGGAUUUAAGGUUUGAUUAGGAUUUGAUCAGGAUUUGAUUUAGGGUUUAAGAUUUUAUUUGAGUUUGUUUAGGAUUUAAGAUUUAGUUAGUUUUUGGCCUAAAGUUUGAAUGAAGUCCAAUAAGCUUUCAAGUGGGAUUAAAUUAAGAUUGAAUUGAGAUGUAUUUGAGAUAUGUUUGUAAUCAUUCUAAUAUUCCUUUAAGAUUUCUUUGAAAUUUCUUUGAAAUUUCUUUGAGGUUUCUCUGAAUUUGAUUAAAGCUUGUUUAGCAUUGUUAGUGUUCUAUUAGAAUUAGGAUUUUUUUGUUGUAAUUUCCAUUCUACCUUCCACAGCUAGGUGCCUGAAGGAUUUUCAAGUAAGAGUUUACGUAUGAUGACAGCAUUCCUUGUCAAAGGCUUCA